CAAAUCAAGAGCUGGUCGCGUGAGAUUUGUUUUCCGCUCGUCCGCUUUUCGGCUUGUGACCCUGUAGUCGACCAUUGGCACACGUGUAGCCCUAGGGUAUAGGGCUGAGAACACUUGAUGUUCCCCCCAUCUUCCUCCGGUUUGUCCGGGGGUUCCUCCAUAGAAUGCCAAUUAUUGCUGGCAGGUAACGAAGAGGAUUGGUCGCGCUCGUGAACUUAAUUAACCUUUUAUCGACCGAAGCUGGCGAACGACAUCCAUGCCUGUCAGCUAUCCUGCCCAACAAAGUGAAAACCUAUCUGGUAAAAGUUAUUUGGAUGUCAAACCCUGGUAACGUUCUGCGCGUUGCUUCGAAUUAAAUCACAUGCNCCACCGCUUGAGCGGCCCCCCUUAAAUUCAUUUGAGUUUUAUCUUGGCAGCCGACUUCCCCGGCGAUAAACUAAUUGUUUACCUGCCCCACUAAUAGCUUGUGCUCC
rnacentral:rRNA from 1 species